CAGCCGCCGCGGUAAAACGGAGGGUGCAAGCGUUGUCCGGAUUUAUUGGGUUUAAAGGGUGCGCAGGCGGGGGGGUCAGUCCGCGGUGAAAGACGAUCGCUCAACGAUUGCAGUGCCGUGGAUACUGCCCUUCUUGAAUCUGGUUGAGGCCGGUGGAAUUGACCGUGUAGCGGUGAAAUGCAUAGAUAUGGUCAAGAACUCCAAUUGCGAAGGCAGCCGGCUGGGCCAGCAUUGACGCUCAGGCACGAGAGUGCGGGGAUCAAACAGGAUUAGAUACCCCGGUAGUCCCUGUCUCUUAUAC
rnacentral:rRNA from 1 species